rnacentral:rRNA from 1 species
UACGGGGGGUGCGAGCGUUGUCCGGAAUCACUGGGCGUAAAGGGCGCGUAGGCGGGUCUUUAAGUCAGGGGUGAAAUCCUGGAGCCCAACUCCAGAACUGCCUUUGAUACUGAAGAUCUUGAGUUCGGGAGAGGUGAGUGGAACUGCGAGUGUAGAGGUGAAAUUCGUAGAUAUUCGCAAGAACACCAGUGGCGAAGGCGGCUCGCUGGCCCGAUACUGACGCUGAGGCACGAAAGCGUGGGGAGCAAACAGG